rnacentral:tRNA from 1 species
AAGUAAUUAGUCUAUCUAAGACAAUUGAUUUCGACUCAAUAAAACCUGGUUCCCCUAGGAUUACUAA